UUUUUUUUUUUUUUUAUCAGAAGAAUGUAAACACCAGGCAGAUGUGAUUUGCUGGCCUACCUCUGUAGGUUCCAGAAGUCCUGAAUAGUAUUUACUAAUUCUAGUGAUCUUAGACAUUAGAUCUGACAAAAAGAAUGGCUUCUUGUCUUUGUCUUGCUCAUAACCAAAAAGAAGAUAUACAGCAGGAAAGUCAUGGUAUGAAACAUUACUUCUUCUACAAAUAAGACAUGAAUAUUAAUUGCAGCCGUGUUCAUAAUAGUAAAAAGCUGGAGUACAAAUUUAUCAACUGCAAGAUAGAUAAACAUUGUAUAUUCAUAUACUGAAAUAUUCAACAGGUAAACAGAAAUGAAUUUGAGGCUUGUGUAUCAUGAGAGACAGACAUAUCAACAGACAAUGGCCAAACCACAUAUAAGAACAGAACUCUGACCAACAACCCGGGAAAGCAACCCCUUAUCUCCAAUAAACAGUCCAGGAAGCCAGCCUGCUUUAAGUCAGAUUCUCAGGAAGCCAGAUAGCUAUCAAUAGUGACCACUCAGAAGGCUGCACAAUAAUUUCUAUAACAGGCGGUCUAUGAUGGCCAGGACUUGAUUAAUAACUUCUCUAAUUUCUGUCUUGCUCCCUACUUAGGACCAACCAGAAAAAGCCAACUAUACACCCCUAGCCAAUCACAGAGGGUGCCCCACUUCUACUCAGCCCAUCCACAGUUCCCCCCCACACCAAGAGCCUCCAGUCAGGGCAUACCUGAACUCACUUUUCCCACUCCACAGAUGUCAUAUUUUAUUUAACACAAAUACAAUAUCUGAAGCAAAUCUAGCAAAAUGCCACAUUUUGACAAAGCUGGAUUGUGGGCUGAUGGUUGUUACAUUUUUCUCUAUACUUUUCCAUGUACUUACAUCUUUAACGAUACUAAAAAAGCAAUUGUAAUGGUAACUCUUCCAGCUGUGAAGUGAAAAUAUUUCUUAUGCAGGAACUCAUGCUUCUAUCUGCCACAAAUACAUCUUUUGUUAAUAUUGGUAGUUGGUGACUUUAAAGACAGAAAGCAAGUAUUUUCUGUAAUUCAACCUCCUUUCCAUCCUACAAGGAUGGUGAGAUAUUUACAGUUGUUCUCUUUUUUUCUUUUUCUUGUUUUUAUUUCCUUUGAGUGAAUGCAUGAACAUACAUGCACAUGAGCCUUCAUAUGACUUCUUGUGAUCUCAUCACUUUGUCCCUUAACAAUAUGUGUCCCUUAUGCAUCUUGUUUCUUCUUUUUUAAAUGAUAGAUUUGCUUUUCCCAAAUAUAAGAAUAGUACAUUCAUUGGAGAAGUUUUGGAAAAUAUAGGAUAUUGUAUAAAGGAAAAAAAAAGUACCCACUGUGAUUCCAUUCAGUGUACAUACUAGUAAUUCCAAUGUAUUUUUUCUAGGAAUUUUAUUUAUAUGUCUUAAAAUACUAAUGGGUCUUUAGGUGUUAUGAAUAUUAAUAUUUAAUUGAAGUACUAGCCACACGUGCUCCUUACAGUGUAUAUAAUUGUCACCUGGAAGAAGAGCCUGACAUAAGAUAAUAUUAUGAAUAAAUUUAUGAAAUAAAUUUGUGAAUUAAGCAAUAAUGAGUUAAGCAUAGGAAUAUUACCAUCUACAUCUUUAUAGGUGAAAAGUAUAUACAUUUAUUUAUGUAUGUGUAUUUGUGUAUAUAUGUAUAUAUAUUGUGUAUAUAGAUAUGUAUAUAGAUGUGUGUAUAUGUAUAUAUAUUGUGUAUAUAUGUACAUAUAUUUAUAUAUGUUUACAUAUGUAUAUGUGUGUAUGUAUAUAUAUUGUGGGUAUAUAUACAUAUAUUGUGUGUAUACAUAUAUAUAAAUUGUGUGUGUAUAUAUGUGUGUAUGUGUAUAUACAUAUUGGGGGGAACCCAAUAGUUCCCCAAAGUUCAUAUCUUCAGCAUUGACUAAAUUCCCUAAAGAAUCAAGUAAUAAACCAGACUAUUACCACUAUUGAAAGGAUGACUGGGUGGCUCAGCAGUUAAGUGUGUCUGCCUUUGGCUCAGGGUG
rnacentral:lncRNA from 1 species